UACAGAGGGUGCGAGCGUUAAUCGGAAUUACUGGGCGUAAAGCGCGCGUAGGCGGCUUUGCAAGUCGGGUGUGAAAUCCCCAGGCUUAACCUGGGAACUGCAUUCGAGACUGCAUUGCUAGAGUAUGGGAGAGGGAAGUGGAAUUCCACGUGUAGCAGUGAAAUGCGUAGAGAUGUGGAGGAACACCGAUGGCGAAGGCAGCCCCCUGGGAUAAGACUGACGCUCAUGUACGAAAGCGUGGGGAGCAAACAGG
rnacentral:rRNA from 1 species